rnacentral:rRNA from 1 species
GAUGAAUGCUGGCGGCGUGCUUAACACAUGCAAGUCGAGCGGUAAGGCCCCUUCGGGGGUACACGAGCGGCGGACGGCUGAGUAACGCGUGGGAACAUGCCCCAAAGUGAGGAAUAAGCUCCAGAAAUGGAGUCUAUGCCGCAUAUGAUCUUCGGAUUAAAGGAUUUAUCCGCUUUGGGAGUGGCCUGCGUACGAUUAGC